rnacentral:rRNA from 1 species
CCUACGGGUGGCAGCAGUGAGGAAUAUUGGUCAAUGGGCGAGAGCCUGAACCAGCCAAGUCGCGUGAAGGAAGAAGGAUCUAUGGUUUGUAAACUUCUUUUAUAUGGGAAUAAAGUGAGGAACGUGUCCCUUUUUGUAUGUACCACAUGAAUAAGCAUUGGCUAACUCCGUGCCAGCAGCCGCGGUAAUACGGAGGGUGCGAGCGUUAAUCGGAAUUACUGGGCGUAAAGCGCUCGUAGGCGGUAUGUCAAGUCAAGGGUGAAAUUCGCGCGCUGAAAGUCUGUACUGCCUUUGAAACUGGCAAACUGGAGUGUGUGAGAGGAUAGUGGAAUUCGAGGUGUAGGAGUGAAAUGCGUAGAUAUCAGGAAGAACAUCGGUGGCGAAGGCAGCUAUCUGGCGCGUAACUGACGCUGAGGAGCGAAAGCGUGGGUAGCGAACAGGAUUAGAUACCCGAGUAGUC